UACGUAGGGACCAAGCGUUGUUCGGAUUUACUGGGCGUAAAGGGCGCGUAGGCGGCGUGUUAAGUCAGCUGUGAAAUCUCCAAGCUUAACUUGGAACGGUCAGCUGAUACUGAUGUGCUAGAGUGCAGACGGGGCAAUCGGAUUCUUGGUGUAGCGGUGAAAUGCGUAGAUAUCAAGAGGAACACCUGAGGCGAAGGCGGGUUGCUGGGCUGACACUGACGCUGAGGCGCGAAAGCUAGGGUAGCAAACGGGAUUAGAAACCCUAGUAGUCC
rnacentral:rRNA from 1 species